GCUGCCCGAAACCGGUCAGCAGCAUCUGGCAAGGCUGAGGUCGUGAGUUCAAUCCUCACCGGCAGCACCA
rnacentral:tRNA from 1 species